AUGGAAUGUCCCCAUUCAGAGCACAAGUACAACAAGACACCAGACGAGUGCAAGCAGCUGGCAUUCCUUCAUCCCUUCCUGAUCAGCCUGGAGAAGAAAGCAAUAAAUGUUAAUGAUUCUUGUGAUAUUUACAAAACUUCUGUGAACACCACCUCUUGGGAAGUUUACCAAACUAGAAGUGUAAAAAUGAAGAGUUACAAGUUUAGAAGGGGGAAGAGAGAAGUCAACAUGGGAGAAUAAACCAAGGAAAGGAAACAGGAAAGAAACUUUGUGGUGCAACAUACUGCUGCUACAAACAGCUGAGCAGCCUGACCAGCAUGGGCACAGCACUGAACUUCCAGGCUUCCCUUCUGAUAGCUGAAUAAUCCUUCUUGUAUGUUUACUUGGUCUUGUGUACUGGUCAUGUUCUAUUUCUGGGUGAAAUUUGUCUUUGACUUUUAUUCCUGAGUGUGCUCAGAAGACGAUAAGGCAGCUGGGGCCUCAAAGCAUUUUUACUUCAGAGCAUCUGUAUCAAAAUUUCGGCUGAACUGCAUACAACACAGAGUAGCAAAAGACCAGGAACAAAAUGUAAAAUGUUGACUCAUGGUGAGGAGUGGUCUGCUUGUUCUCGGAAUUAGUUCAGAAAAGAAUGCUGUUUGUCAGAGGCCGAACAGCUCUGUAGAAGAGAAACAGACCGUAGUGCUCUUCUUCAUGGGCUAAGCUACUCAUGUUAUAUUCACAGAACAACUUACUCUCUGGCUUUAUCAACAAAAAAAGAGUGGAUAGAGUCAUGGCUAAACCUACUACUUUCCUUGCCCUCUGCUUCAUUAUUCUACUUUAAGACUGGCAUCCAAACUGGAAAAAAGUCUUGUACGGAAAAAAUUAAUCAAAUAAGAGUCACGAUUUAGCUGAAACUUAGUUAUCUCACUAUAAAAGCAAAUUCCUUUCAAAUAAGCAUGUGAACUCUUCAUUUUAAAGUUCUGGACAGUGAGAAGGAGUCAAUUCAUGGAGGAGGAAAAGCUGAUCAAAGCUAGCUAAGUUAAAGCUAGUGUUUUGCAAGCCUGCCAGUCAUGAAUGUUUGAUGUUUUUGUGUUGUAUCCUGUAUCUGGUUUCCACUAUAAUCCAGUGUGAGUGCUAGGAUGUCUGUCGCUGUUAGUGGUGUAUCUCAUACCACAGCAAAUGACACAAAAAUAUGACUAAACUUAUGAAGCUGUCCUAGAUGCUACCAAAUGCAUGAAGUAUAAAUUGCAAAAUGCCAAGCACUUUCUCUGCCCCUGCCAAACUAUCUUGUCAGGCAUAAUGAGAUUUCACAGUCUGUAACCUCAUGUAACCUGGACUGAUUGGAUUUGGAUUAUCUCUAUGAGUGCUGUAUGGACCUAUCACUGGCCUUUUUGCCCUGAGGUGACUUGAAAACACUUGCUAGGCUGCUUCCAAAUCUUUUGGGGUCGCUCUUCAGUCACCUGGGCACCUGAGCAGCCCUAGUAGAGGGGAAGCCUCAGACUACUUUCCAACCCACUCUAGUGCCCUGCGUCUCUGCUCCAGCUGCUUCUUCCAUAUUAUUCCUUCUGGCCUGGCAGUGAGAAGGGAGAAUGUGUAAAAGACCCUUGUUACACAUUUCAUAAACCAGAUAUUUGGAUUUGCUGUUCAUGUUAUGUAUGCUGCACAAAGAGUAAGGAACACAAGUGGACUUUUUGCUUCCUAUAUUUAAAUUGUAUCUGCUUCUCUUUCACACUGGUUUGGACCAAUAAAAAAGAUAGUUUUUAACUCAGAUAUUUUUUCCCUUUACUUACUCAUCUCUUCCAAAGACUGUUUAGAAAUGAAAUAAAGAAAGAAGUAAAGGUCUGUUUUGUUCAGUUAAAGUGCUAAGCAAGCCUCUACAAAUUCAGCAAGAUCCAAGGUCACAAGACAUUGCCUCUAAACAAGCACUGGUCACCAUUAAAGAAUUUAGUAACAGCUGAUAUAGACAUCUGAUAUGGUAUAUGGUGAUUUUGAAUGACAAAGAAUUAUCUUUGAAAAUUUCUAACCAUUAAAAGUUUCCAAAAUUGGAAAACAAUAAAUAUUGAAGUGCCAUAAAGCAGUGGGUAAAGGAUCCUUCCUUAAUGCCAGAGAAAAGUGAUGGGAAGGAUCUUUGCGAUUACAUGAAGAGAUGGCUUUUCUGAUACAGCUACACGUGGGCCAUUCAGGUAAGUAUUGAUUAGAUGUCUUUUUUUGGUCUUUCAUUGAGAAUUCAAUUACCCAAGGAUAGAAACUCCAGCCCCAAAGAAACUUUUGGGAUAGGGAGGAGAAAGAAAAAAUAUGCUUAGACCAGAUGUUUUUACUUACUCAUUUUGGCAGCUCUCACAAUUCUGUAACCUGUGAUUUUUUUUCUGUUUCCUUGAGUGUCUUUAUUUUACAUAUGGAAAUUUUUUGGUAGUUUUAUUUUGGAGAAAGUGUUCAUGUAAAUUUUUCUUUCUUCUGGUUCUCAAGGUGAGGCAUAGACAACUAACCAGCACCUUUGUGUUCCCUUUGUGUUUGGUUGGGCUUGCUUGGCACAGGAUUGAAUACUCUGGCCAGAUCAUAUCAUGAUUCCUGUGUUCUAUUCUGUAUGUGAGACCUCUGCUUCCUUUCCUGAGAACAUGUAUAGUGACACUCCCUUUUCAGCUUGUCAUGCUGGAUUACAACAGGAUGUCAAUGACAAUAUUCCUUCAUGCAAAUGUUAAAGCUUCUCAAUCUUUGUUUCCUCUCACUCUUUUCCUCACUUCUGUCUCUUUCUUUGCUCAGGAUGAGUUUUGAGGGGUCAAAAAAAUAGAUCCAGUAAAACUAAUGAAUGUCAUAUGUAUUUUCUUGGCUGUUAUCACCAGCAAAAGUUUGGCAUCUUAAAAAAAUUUCCAAAGACUACCAGAGAGCUGGUAAUCUGGCUAGAACAAUUACUCAUAUUGGGCAGAAAAUCAAGUUACUUACUGUCUGAAAUGAAAAUAAAACUGUAUCUUACCCGGCCAUCAAAAAUGUUUUCAGAUUACUUUUAGUGAGUGAGCAGAAUUCUAAACACUUAACACCUGAACUGCCUGAGUUUUGAGUGAAAUGUGUGAGAGAAAUACUAAGGACACAUUUCUCAAAGAUAUGUCAGUAGAAUUUGAAGUCAAUCUUCUGCUCAUUGGCUGUGGCAUCAGGAUACUGUUCCUGACUUUACUGAAGGAAAAGCUCACCUGUGAUUUACAAUGUAUCAAAAAUAUUCGUGAAAUGCUUGGUUACUCCUUCACCUAGUUGGUGGCUGGUCACAGUUUCUUUGGUGCUGCUCAACACUCUGUGGAAAAAAGAGUCUAAAUCAAAGAAAAGAUAUGGCACCAUGGGUAGGUACAGUGUCACAUCUUUUGGUCAUCUCCUUCCUUAAAGUAUUGGCAGCUGUGAAAUUGCAACAGUAAGAGCUGCUCACUGUUACCAAAUUUCUGUGCCUUUCCUGUGUUUCUAUUAAUUAGAAAUACAAAGUAAAGUGAUAAAUUCUUUGCUGUAUGUUCAGAAGAGGCUCCAUCUCUGCUGUCUUAUUCUUUUGUUGUAGUCUUUGCUCUCUUUUUCCCCUGAAGGUAUUUAUUUUAAUAUUCUGAAUUGUGGCUUUUAUCAUUCUUUUUUUUUUGACAUAAAACUAUGCUCAACUGACACGAAUGAGCUUAUAAACUUUGUUCAUGCUGUCACAUUUUCCUGCUCUCAUCAGAGAAAAGUGAGUAAUCUCCGGUGAAUAAUUUGUUAAAUUUAGCCUCUUUUUCCUCUCCAACUAUAUGAGUUCCUCAUAUGCUUCUAUUAUUAGACAACAUGGCAUAAACACUCUGGGCUUUAUUCCAUUUAGUGAAUAUGAAUAUUCAAAAUCUGAGCUAUUUAGUUUGGUAGAAAGAGGUCACAAAAAGGACAACAUAGUAUUUCUCAUUAUUAUUUUUCAAAACCAUCUUAGUCGCUUAAAAGCUUAAGUUGUCAUUGUGCUUGUUAUGGUGAAGACUGAAAUUAAAUUUCUUUUCUAGGAAGCAUUGUUUAUGUGCUAUUAACAUUCCUAAAGUAAUUGCUUUGAUGACUUUUCACCCAGAGUUUCCUGAACACAGCACUGGUUGCUGCAGCUUGUAUAUCUAACAAAGCCUAUUCAAGUUUUUUUGAGUUUCUUAUUUGUACUUUUUUUAGUUUGUGUGGAAGCCCAAUUUCUGUGACAUGAUGUAUGGAGAUUUGGGAUAUUCUUAUUCCAAGACUCAAAUUAAAGCAUGAUAAUGAUGAUUAUUUUAUGACAAUGUUGUAAAACUAUAUAAAGAGUCAACACAAAUUGUGAAGGCAGCUUAGCACAGUGGGAAGAUACACAUUUUUUUAAAAUGCUUUUUAUUCAGGAAAGGAGACUGCUGCACUUCAGCUUAUGCUUGCUUCUUUAUCUGUCUCAAGCAAUGAUUACAAGGAAAACGAAGACUUGAAGAAAACUUUUCCACAAUUGCUCAACUUGUCAUAUUUGUAGGAACUGAGAUCUAGGUUUUACUGUACCUAUUUGAAUAAAUACAAUUGUUGUCUCAGUUGCUCUAUUUAGUGAGCAAAAUGAAUGCUGUGUUUGCAGAAAUAAUUGAUUUAUUCUGAAAAAAAAAUUGGAAACCAUACUCGUGCACUUUUCAUGCAUUUGACUGCUG
rnacentral:lncRNA from 13 species